UACGGAGGGUGCUAGCGUUGCUCGGAAUUACUGGGCGUAAAGCGCGUGUAGGCGGUCGGGUAAGUCAGAUGUGAAAGCCUUCCGCUCAACGGAAGAAGCGCAUUUGAAACUACUCGGCUAGAGUUCGGGAGAGGAGAGUGGAAUUCCCGGUGUAGAGGUGAAAUUCGUAGAUAUCGGGAGGAACACCAGUGGCGAAGGCGGCUCUCUGGCCCGAUACUGACGCUGAGACGCGAAAGCGUGGGGAG
rnacentral:rRNA from 1 species